ensembl:lncRNA LINC01515 long intergenic non-protein coding RNA 1515
GCUAGCAGGGGCCUCUGGCCUUGCUGAGGGUCCCUGUUUCCCCUUUUCCUUCCUUUUCACCCAACAAAACCCUGCUUUACUCACCCUUCAAACCAUCUAUGAGCCUAAAUUGUCGUGGUCGUGGAAUGGACAAGGACCCAGUCUUUAGCUGAACUAAGGGAAAGUCCUGCUUUUUGGCGCGCAACAGGGGAGCUCAAGAAACAGGCCUCACUCACGGCAUAUGGAACUAACCACGCCCCUAACUAAGAAGGCACACCUUAGUUGCAGUUAGCACACAAUUAAAGCAACUCUCCAAGUUUUACCUUAAAGUUCAAAAUUGCUAGGAGUUGAAACUACUAGAAAUAUAUUUACAUGCAAGAGUCAAAGAAACUUUGAACUAUUUAUGGCCUUUAAUAAUUAAGUAAGGUAUACUCCUGUGAUCAAGACUUGGAGCAUAUUUGUUUCUCUCUGCCUGGUUCCUCUAGAAAUUGGAAACUAUCAGAACAGAGACCAACUCCGUUUCCCGAUCCCUUUGCAAUCUGCAUUGAACCAUGAGUCAAGUUCUUGAUAAAGGAGUGAAAAUGGUAAGUCUAAAGCAAUGAAAAGCUGCUGUAUUGACUACACAUGCCUUCAUUUCUUCUACCCUGCUUCUUUCAUGCCUGCUUAUCUGAAUGACACCAGGAUGACAUUUAAGGCACAUCUGAAGAUGGGGAAACCACAGCACAGAAUAAGGCUGGGCCCUUGAAUCAAUAAAUGAAGGAGAACUACUCAAGAGAACAAAACCACCAGCAAUAUCCACCUGUAUUUGUCUUUUCAUAAUGUGUGACACAUGUGCUCAUGGAUUAUUGUCCGAAGCAAGACAUGUGACCAAGCCUAACAUCAACUGGGUGAAGAGCUAUAUGUUCCUUUCUCAAGAGGCACUACAAGUGACAUGCCACUGGGCAGAAUAUUUAUGUGUGAAUCAACUAGAGGAAUGAACAUCACCUAAAGACAAAACAGGAUCUUUGUAUACAUCUUCUGGGAAGGAGUUGUUAUCAUUUCCACAAGGCCAAUUGCAUCAUUCGGAUAAAAACAUUAUAUUGUUGUCUUUAUUUGGAAGUAAAAUAUAUUUUAAAGAGAUGUGAAUGAUUAUAAAGUUUAUAAUAGGUAUACUGUGAUGACUUUGUCAAACGUUAACUUGACUAGGCUGAAUGAUAUUUCCUAGAAUUCCCUUUCCUUUGUUUUCUAUUAAAGAGGGAAUGUUUUCUGGUAGACCAUGUAAUAGAGAUAGAAGUUCUUCUUUUUUACGCAUUCAUUCAUUAUUAUAGUUUAAUGAAUCAUAAAUGAAAAAAAAACCCUCUUCCAGAAGCAUUUACUAACACUUUCAGGUAUAUGAGAAUGGAAUAAUUUUCAGAAACUGGGCUUUCUGUAUUUUCCCUGUUGGCUAUUUCAGACCAGUUCCCGACCCUUCUCCAUCCUUCUCCAUGCCCUGGGAAACCGACUUUUAUAGACUGCAAAAGUAUGCUCUCUUACACUUUGGUUUCUUAUUGAGGUCAAAUAAUAAAAAUCACUGCCAAAAAAUGG